GACGAACGCUGGCGGCGUGCCUAACACAUGCAAGUCGAGCGAAUGAAGUUCCUUCGGGAAUGGAUUUAGCGGCGGACGGGUGAGUAACACGUGGGCAACCUGCCUCAUAGAGGGGAAUAGCCUCCCGAAAGGGAGAUUAAUACCGCAUAAGAUUGUAGUACCGCAUGAUACAGCAAUUAAAGGAGCAAUCCGCUAUGAGAUGGGCCCGCGGCGCAUUAGCUAGUUGGUGAGGUAAUGGCUCACCAAGGCGACGAUGCGUAGCCGACCUGAGAGGGUGAUCGGUCACAUUGGGAAUGAGACACGGCCCAGACUCCUACGGGAGGCAGCAGUGGGGAAUAUUGCACAAUGGGGGAAACACUGAUGCAGCAACGCCGCGUGAGUGAUGACGGCCUUCGGGUUGUAAAGCUCUGUCUUCAGGGACGAUAAUGACGGUACCUGAGGAGGAAGCCACGGCUAACUACGUG
rnacentral:rRNA from 1 species